CCUACGUGAGGCAGCAGUGGGGAAUAUUGCACAAUGGGGGAAACCCUGAUGCAGCGACGCCGCGUGAGUGAAGAAGUAAUUCGUUAUGUAACGCUCUUUCAGCAGGGAAGAAAAUGACGGUACCUGAGUAAGAAUCCCCGGCUAACUACGUGCCAGCAGCCGCGGUCAUACGUAGGGGGCAAGCGUUAUCCGGAUUUACUGGGUGGAAAGGGAGCGUAGACGGCAGUGCAAGUCUGGAGUGAAAGGCGGGGGCUCAACCCCCGGACUGCUUUGGAAACUGUACGGCUGGAGUGCAGGAGAGGGAAGGGGAAUUCCGAGUGUAGCGGUGAAAUGCGUAGAUAUUAGGAGGAACACCAGUGGCGAAGGCGGCUUACUGGACUGUAACUGACGUUGAGGCUCGAAAGCGUGGGGAGCAAACAGGAUUAGAUACCCGGGUAGUC
rnacentral:rRNA from 1 species